CAGAGGUGGUUUCAGGUGCUGGCUCUGUAGCUUCUCGGUGGGUUCCUGAUGUUGAGCCUUGGAGGAAUCACAUGGCUGUUGAACCUAAGAUUCCUAUUGUACAUUCUCAGAUGGAUCUUGGUUUUGAGCCUGAACAGUAUCCCAGAGGUGCUGGUGCUGUGAGAACAGCAGAGGGUGUGGAUCAGAAACGGGGAGAAAAUCACUCUGCAGUUGCAGUGCUUGCCGUGCUGUUCUCUCUGGUUGUUCUGGCAGCUUUGGGUUACCUGGCAAAACAUCUGCUGAAGAAGAGACGAGAAGGUGCAAUGCUAGGUAGAGCUGGCAUAUGCAUGAGAAAGGAAGACACCUCUCCAGUAGUAAAACGACCACACUUUGCGAGAAUUACCAUAGAAAUUGAAGAUCAGUCUGGGAAGUUAAACCCAAAUCUGAAGUGUCUUCCCAAUUCCAAGGUCCCAGAAACCUCUUCCUUAGUCUGUCAGCACUCAGAGCAGUCCACUCAGCCUGACUCUCGCAAGCAGUCAGAAAUCGCUGAUGAAAGCAAAAAGCCAAUAGAGUCAGGAAAAGAGAGGAAAAGUACAUGCACCUGUGGAAGAACAGUGAAACUGGGUGAAACAUAGAACCCCCAGUGGACCAAGAAUGUAGAGAUCAGCACCCCUGGGGAGCUGUGUGCCACGGAAGAGAACACACAGUGUCCAUGAGAGAAAUACAUCAGACAAAUGGGAAAGGGAGAGUCUCCUAACCGUGCUGCAGGCUCAGCAAUGCAGAGCAAUAAGGAAUGUCCUUACAUCACUAAGUCACUUUGUCUCUCCCUCCCGGAAACGACGUGGGAAGGAGUGGAGCAUUUGGGGAACUCUAGUUCUCCCUUAGCAGCUUUCCCAUUUCCAUCAGUUCAUUGCGUGAUGUCCAUAUUAUGGACUACCAUGAGAGCAUUCACCACUUAUUCCACAUCAUGACAUCAUGCCCAAGUUGUACAACACAGAUAUAUGUAUCUACAUGAUCAAUAAACUAUAAUUAACAUUAUAUACAGGUAUGUGUACAUAUGUGCAUAUAU
rnacentral:lncRNA from 1 species